UUCCUAAUAUCCAAUCUUAACCUCCCUGGCACAACUUGAGACUGUUACUUUUGAUCCUAUUAUUGUUACGUGGGAGAAGAGGCCGCUGAAUUACAGAAUCAUACACACACAGAAUCAGAGCUCGGGGAUGUGCAGCAAAGGCCGUGUUCCUCGGGAUAUUGUGCAGGCAGAAGAUGAAUGACUCCAAGAGUUUAAACUACGUUAAAGUCCUUCAGAUCACCUUUGGAAAUGCUAGAGGAAGUGCAGUAAACAGAAAUCAAAGACCUUUUUUGUGUGUGUUUAAAUGGGCAGACAAAUUUCAAAUCUGAAAGAUCAUAAAUCUGUGUGUAUUUGCUUGAACAAGGUAUCCUAGCACAAAAGCCCUCUGAAGACAGGCCUGAUUUUCUGAUCAUGUCAAACAGAUCAGAGGAAAAUAUGACUUGAAAGACACAGUUAUUUUGAGUAGUCAGGAUAAAUUCUUUGUAAAUAUUUUGUUUUUAAUCCAGCUUCAGUAAGUGUAUCUCUGGGGGGUUUAGGACAUUUGAAUUUCCUUCAGUAAACCAGAUUGUUCUUGUUUGUUUUACAACCUAAAGGACAAAAAACUCAGAAAACAAGAAAAGAAAGGGGAAAUUCUUCACCGUCAGCUCCCAAAGAAAACUGAGAAAAGUCCAGUUUCAUAUAGACAGCCUUCUUCCUGUCUUAUCUCACAGAUACAGAACACCAAGGCUCUGCUGAGGGACCGAAAAGCUGCCAAGGCUGGAGGUGCUGAGAAAGACUCCACCAGUGGGCUGAGCCCCUUCCACGAGCCUUUGGCGACCAAGGCCGGCUGCAUCACCUCCAGCUCCCUGGAGUACCUUGAGGCCCAGCAGCCACUGCCCAGGACCCCCGGCUCCUGAAGAGGCAGGAGUCCCACAGCAGGAGCCAGUGCGGGGCGGGGGCCGGGCCAAGGACUCUCCCCUCAUCCUGAACAUUGUGCACUCCUUCGAGUCCGUUGACAGAGAGGACCAAACAGACCAGGUCUCCCCCUCCCACCAGUACAAGAUUUUAGGCUCACCGAUGAAUUUUCCUUCCAAAAGCUCGAGUGAAAGGACACUGUCCCCGCUUUUUCAGCCAGGAAGUACAUCCCCCAUCCACCCCAACCAGGUCUCUUUUACAUACGAGGAAAAAGCAUAUCCCACCAAGGAAGAAGCUGUGUCCCCUACUCAGCUGGUUUCCAACAACCCGUUGGGCAGCCCCAACUGUGUUAAAAGCAGGGGCAGGUUCCCCAUGAUGGGGAUCGGACAGAUGCUGCGGAAGAGGAACCAGGCGAUGCAGUCGGUGGGCGACAAACCGCUGGAAGCACGGAUGCCUCAGCUGCAACAGAUGAGCCCCACGCAGAUCACAUUCAGUGCAGAUGCUGUCAGCGGCCAGUGUUAGUCUGGCAGGCCAGGAUUUGUAUUUCUGUUGUCUGUGAUCCAGCCUUUUUUAUUUUUAAAAAGAAGGGAAAGCCACAGGCAUGUCACCAUCUCUACAUAACACAGUGCAGUGGUCCAAUGUAGAAAAUCAGAGGUCCUCUUGUAAGGAAGGGGUUGUCCUAUGUAUUAAAGUGAAAAGAAGAGUGCUCUGCUUGUGGUGUUAAGAAAUAUUAGCAUUAGGCAUCAGACUGUACAGUAAAACAUGUCUUGAAAAAGCCAUGUCAAUAUGUAUUUUCACUGCUCAAAGUUUUGUACUGUAGUAAAGUUAAUUGGAAGAGUAACGAGCAUUACCAGUGUGAUUCAGCAAGGUGAUCGGCGUGGUGCUGUGAGUGCUGGCCCCAGCUGGGGCCAUGGUAAGGCUACCCGUGCUCAUUCUGCCUGUGCCAGGCAGUACACUGUCCUGUUACAGGCAUCAUUCAAGGGGAAAAACUCCAGAUGCAGUUUCCAAAAUCAACUUGCUAAAAAUCACUGCCAGGGAGAUGGAGUUUGUAGAAGCUUGAGUCAAGACAUGCACGGUCUAAACAUUCAGAAAAAGUGGUACUAAUGAAAGUCAAACCAGAUCUUACUGUUUAUUACAUAAAGUAGCUAGUAAUGGCAUCAUUUGUUCCUAAGGAAAAUGAUAAUUUAAUCAUGUCAUUCAGAAGGAACAUGAUUAUUCAAAAACAAGGCUCAUCACAUGACAAUUAACUGCACUGAAGGCCUGUUCCUUUCAUGUAAUGGGUUUACAAGUGGAUGCUUUAGUCAAUGAUCUCCAUUGCCACAUGCUGUGUUUAGGCAAUCCGGUCACCUCCAACUUUUGUAGCUAUACUAUUUCCACUCCUGUGUGCAGGUUUGCAUUAGCCCCUGUUACAGCUACACAGCACCUGAAGGCUUUUCUGAGAGACUGCAGUGACUUGAAGAGACUCAUAAAGGACACACAAACUUAUACCAGUGCCGUUUUAUACUACAAGAUCGGUUAUGUGGUGGUUACCAAAAAUUUGGUACUGUUAUGAGCUGUGAAGAUUAAGUUUCUUAAAAAGCAACAUGUUCUGCGUACUGGUCUUGUUUUUCUAAGUAAAUGAUCUGAGAGGCUGGCAA